rnacentral:rRNA from 1 species
GACGAACGCUGGCGGCGUGCUUAACACAUGCAAGUCGAGCGAUGAAAUUCUCUUCGGAGAAUGGAUUAGCGGCGGACGGGUGAGUAACACGUGGGUAACCUGCCUUAUAGUGGGGGAUAGCCUUUCGAAAGGAAGAUUAAUACCGCAUAAUAUUGUGGUUUCGCAUGAAACAACAAUUAAAGGAUUUAUUCGCUAUGAGAUGGACCCGCGGCGCAUUAGCUAGUUGGUGAGGUAACGGCUNACCAAGGCGACGAUGCGUAGCCGACCUGAGAGGUGAUCGGCCACAUUGGAACUGAGGACACGGUCCAAACUCCUACGGGAGGCAGCAGUGAGGAAUAUUGGUCAAUGGGCUAAGCCUGAACCAGCCAAGUAGCGUGAGGGAAGACGUGCCCUACGGGUUGUAAACCGUCUUUUGUUUGGG